GAGGGGAGUGGUAAAUGAGGGGAGAGGGAGGAAGGUGACCAAGAGCAAGCUCGAGUGCUCCUGGUGCUAGCAAUACUGGGUCUUCACAAACCCAUGUUACAAAGCCAGUUACAAAGUCAGCAGUGAUAAGAAUUCUCUUUCCUGUGCUGAAAUGGAACUUGCACACCGUGAAGCCUUCUCCAGAGUGGCAGCGGUAAGCAGAGAAGUGAUCCAAUCAAGAGAGUGGUUGCCAUGGGCCCUACCUCACUGCCUAGUCUGAGCUAACUCCAGUCACAGUAAUCUGUAGUUCAGGGUUGCUUCAUUUCUCUAUGUGAGUUUGUCUUCCCCAGCCUGGUAAGUUUGCUUAUACCAUUACCUCU